GAUGAAGAACGUAGCGAAAUGCGAUAAGUAAUGUGAAUUGCAGAAUUCAGUGAAUCAUCGAAUCUUUGAACGCACAUUGCGCCCCCUGGUAUUCCGGGGGGCAUGCCUGUUCGAGCGUCAUUUCACCACUCAAGCCUCGCCUGGUAUUGGGCAACGCGGUCCGCCGCGUGCCUCAAAUCGACCGGCUGGGUCUUCUGUCCCCUAAGCGUUGUGGAAACUAUUCGCUAAAGGGUGUUCGGGAGGCUACGCCGUAAAACAACCCCAUUUCUAAGGUUGACCUCGGAUCAGGUAGGGAUACCCGCUGAACUUAAGCAUAUCAAUAAGCGGAGGA
rnacentral:misc_RNA from 1 species